AGGGGCUUAGGAUAGUGUUAAGACCUGGAGCCUUCAAAGCCCCCAGCGGGAGUUAGAAUCUCCCAGCCCCUG
rnacentral:tRNA from 1 species